rnacentral:rRNA from 1 species
CAUGCAAGUCGAGCGGCAGCGGGAGGAAGCUUGCUUCCUCGCCGGCGAGCGGCGGACGGGUGAGUAAUGUCUGGGAAACUGCCCGAUGGAGGGGGAUAACUACUGGAAACGGUAGCUAAUACCGCAUAACGUCUACGGACCAAAGUGGGGGACCUUCGGGCCUCACACCAUCGGAUGUGCCCAGAUGGGAUUAGCUGGUAGGUGGGGUAAUGGCUCACCUAGGCGACGAUCCCUAGCUGGUCUGAGAGGAUGACCAGCCACACUGGAACUGAGACACGGUCCAGACUCCUACGGGAGGCAGCAGUGGGGAAUAUUGCACAAUGGGCGCAAGCCUGAUGCAGCCAUGCCGCGUGUAUGAAGAAGGCCUUCGGGUUGUAAAGUACUUUCAGCGAGGAGGAAGGCGAUAAGGUUAAUAACCUUGUCGAUUGACGUUACUCGCAGAAGAAGCACCGGCUAACUCCGUGCCAGCGGCCGCGGUAAUACGGAGGGUGCAAGCGUUAAUCGGAAUUACUGGGCGUAAAGCGCACGCAGGCGGUCUGUCAAGUCGGAUGUGAAAUCCCCGGGCUCAACCUGGGAACUGCAUCCGAAACUGGCAGGCUAGAGUCUUGUAGAGGGGGGUAGAAUUCCAGGUGUAGCGGUGAAAUGCGUAGAGAUCUGGAGGAAUACCGGUGGCGAAGGCGGCCCCCUGGAC